AAGAGCCCUUACAACAGAGAAGAGUUGAGGAAACGGUAUGCGUUUCAAUUGAUUAAGAACUGCGCAAUUUCUUGGUAACCCAUCGCCGCUUUGGUCCUGGUGUCCUUCUAAAAUAUAUUGAUAUCUAAAGGCGUGUUUGGAUUGAACAUGCGUGUGGCAAACCCGCCCGCGGUGCACGCAUAGCCUAUACCGGCGGUUGUAGCAGCUACGUACUUGGCUUGGCGAUUUUGAAAAGGAAUGUUCAAUUCUUCUGCGAGAGGGCUGUACAUUCAUUUUGGAAGAUAUGCAAGAUUAGAGAUUACUGUACAGUUUUGAAAUUGUGCAACACGAGACUAAUCGGUAUGCCAUGCCCAUGGCUGAUUCUCUAAAUGCUCUCAUCUCUCCCAAGCAACGAUUUCCUAAUGUAUCUGCGUGUACAGUUUCUGCAAGCCGACAUUUUCUAAAUGGAGUAAGGAUUUUUGACACAUUAUUCAGCUAUUACUUAAUUUUGGAAACGGUUUUGGGAGGCUACGUGGCUGAACGAACGUCAUUCGUGUGGAAAGAAGAUGUGUUACGACGUUUUUUUUCUGUUACAGUGUGCAGCAACGGUACCUCCCAUGAGAAAGCAGCAUGCACAAACAGCGGAACAAGGCCUAACACGAUGACACGGCCUCGGUAUGCUGUUGGCGUGGGCCAGCCCGGCAUCACCUGAACAAACAUUAAAGAUGUUAACAUCACGGUCAGGGCUGUGCGGCCACAGCAAAGAGCCAGUCAUUAUGAAGUGUGGGAAUGCGGGGCCGUCUGGUUGGAGCACGCAGUUGGCCAGGUAAGGAAGUGUGUCUGUAUGUCUCUGUGCAUUUAUACAAAUGCUGAUGCUGUGCGUC